GAUGAACGCUGGCGGCGUGCCUAAUACAUGCAAGUCGAGCGAACAGACGAGGAGCUUGCUCCUCUGACGUUAGCGGCGGACGGGUGAGUAACACGUGGAUAACCUACCUAUAAGACUGGGAUAACUUCGGGAAACCGGAGCUAAUACCGGAUAAUAUAUUGAACCGCAUGGUUCAAUAGUGAAAGACGGUCUUGCUGUCACUUAUAGAUGGAUCCGCGCCGCAUUAGCUAGUUGUUAAGGUAACGGCUUACCAAGGCAACGAUGCGUAGCCGACCUGAGAGGGUGAUCGGCCACACUGGAACUGAGACACGGUCCAGACUCCUACGGGAGGCAGCAGUAGGGAAUCUUCCGCAAUGGGCGAAAGCCUGACGGAGCAACGCCGCGUGAGUGAUGACGGUCUUCGGAUCGUAAAACUCUGUUAUUAGGGAAGAACAAAUGUGUAAGUAACUAUGCACGUCUUGACGGUACCUAAUCAGAAAGCCACGGCUAACUACGUG
rnacentral:rRNA from 1 species